rnacentral:rRNA from 1 species
AUGGCUUUUGCAAACCCGACAUGCGGCAAGGAUUGGCCGGUGCUGCCGGCUGGCGUCAAGUUUGAUCCCAUGGAUCAGGAGCUGAUCGAGCACCUUGAGGCCAAAGUGACUGCUGACAGCGCAACAUCUCACCCUCUCAUCGAUUUGUUCAUACCAACCAUCGACAGCGAGCAUGGCAUAUGCUACACCCAUCCUGAGAAACUUCCAGGUAUCACACUCAGUGGCCUAAGCAAGCAUUUAUUCCAGCGCAAUUCCAGGGUGUUCAAAAGGGGCACGUGGACGCGUCGCAAGAUACAGUCGGAGUGCGGCAUGCACGCGAUGUGGCACAAGACCGGCAAUACCUUGCCGGUGGUGGUCAACGGCCGGCAGAUGGGCAGCAAAAAGGAUCUGGUGCUGCACACCAACAAGAACUUCGACCAGCAGAGGACCAACUGGGUGAUGCACCAGUACCACCUCGGGGACCUGGAGCAAGAGAAGGAGCGGGAGCUGGUCCUCUGCAAGAUUUUCUACCAGACAAACACUAGGGCCAGGAGUAAAAAGAUUAUAAGUCAGUUUGGUAUUGGUACUUGUACUACCUUGUCAUCCGCAAGUUGCCUCCCAAACCAGCGCCGGCGGAACCGCCUGCUCCCGCCUCCCAUGGCCGGCUAUGCUGCCGGGCAGGCUUCAUGGUCCCACCAUACUCGCAUCCCUGGCCUGUCUAUCCCUCUACCCACCCACACCUCCUGUUAUUUUUCGACGAUGGCAGCCGAACCAGUCAACCCUCGUACUCCCCACCACGUGGGCAGCCACUGUCUGACCGUACGAUGUCCAUCCAACGGCCGUAGUGCUUCUUCAACCUCUGGUCUUCUCGCUCCAGCCGCUCAAAGCAGCGUCGCUGGGUCCACGACCGUAGCAAGGAAGUGCCCCCUUAUUACGUGGAAAAUAAUGAUUCCUCCACCUGACAUCGGGGACCCACCGGACGGGCCACCGUAUUUCGCGAAAAAAACGUUUCCCCCCUGA